ACGGAAGGCAGCAGUAGGGAAUCUUCCACAAUGGACGCAAGUCUGAUGGAGCAACGCCGCGUGAGUGAAGAAGGUCUUCGGAUCGUAAAACUCUGUUGUUAGAGAAGAACACGAGUGAGAGUAACUGUUCAUUCGAUGACGGUAUCUAACCAGCAAGUCACGGCUAACUACGUGCCAGCAGCCGCGGUAAUACGUAGGUGGCAAGCGUUGUCCGGAUUUAUUGGGCGUAAAGGGAACGCAGGCGGUCUUUUAAGUCUGAUGUGAAAGCCUUCGGCUUAACCGGAGUAGUGCAUUGGAAACUGGAAGACUUGAGUGCAGAAGAGGAGAGUGGAACUCCAUGUGUAGCGGUGAAAUGCGUAGAUAUAUGGAAGAACACCAGUGGCGAAAGCGGCUCUCUGGUCUGUAACUGACGCUGAGGUUCGAAAGCGUGGGUAGCAAACAGGAUUAGAUACCCUGGUA
rnacentral:rRNA from 1 species